ensembl:lncRNA
AUCUAAACUCCGCAUGAGAAUUGACCUCACAGGUCGAAGUGGAGAAUACCUGCAGAAAAGUCAUACAUUGUAUGGUACUUGGAGGUACCAUAUCUUUCAAGGUCUGUUCCACCUGUUCAAGGCCUAAUCCUAGGCAGUUCUUUCAUAUCAUUAACAGUCUAUUGAAGGAAGACAGUGGUAAUACGCUAACUGCAUCAGGCAUAUUUGUCACGAAUCCUGUCCAUGGACUUCCGUUCGAUCAACACCAGAGAUCACCCUUCCAUUAAAUUGACACUCACACUACACAAACUGUUGCAUGUCAUCCCGGACUCCCUGUUUAUAAGCACGUCUUCAAUAAAAGCUUUGCACAUGGAUCCGCAUGUCUCACAUCUUAUUUGCCC